rnacentral:rRNA from 1 species
GCCACGCCCGCUACAGAACUACAAAGGAAUUGACGGGGCCCGCACAAGCGGUGGAGUAUGUGGUUUAAUUCGAUGCAACGCGAAGAACCUUACCUGGUCUUGACAUCCCGGAGACCCUUAGGAAACUAGGGGGUGCUUCCAUCUGGAAGAAUCUGGAGACAGGUGCUGCAUGGCUGUCGUCAGCUCGUGUCGUGAGAUGUUGGGUUAAGUCCCGCAACGAGCGCAACCCUUGCCUUUAGUUGCCAGCAGUUCGGCUGGGCACUCUAAAGGGACUGCCGGUGUUAAACCGGAGGAAGGUGGGGAUGACGUCAAGUCCUCAUGGCCUUUAUGACCAGGGCUACACACGUACUACAAUGGCCGAUACAAAGGGCAGCGACACUGCGAGGUGAAGCCAAUCCCGUAAAAUCGGUCUCAGUCCGGAUUGGAGUCUGCAACUCGACUCCAUGAAGUUGGAAUCGCUAGUAAUCGUGGAUCAGCAUGCCACGGUGAAUACGUUCCCGGGCCUU